UUAAGAAACAAGGUGUAAAGAUAACAAAAAUGUUUUUAAAAACUGAAUCAAUGGUACCAGAUAUGGUUAUUAUAUUUGUUCCUAUUACCAAAGCUUUAUGAUACAAUUAGACUAGCCAUUGAAAGGAUUGUUUCUGAACAACAAAAGGAAGGAAGGAUCUAUUCAACUAUCAACUUCUGUGAAAACACUUCAUGCAUUGCAAAGCCUCUACCCACCAAAUCACUUCAUAAUACUGGGUGAAACAUCUGCUCUCUACUAAUAUGAACUUCUGAAGCAUGCAGGACACACCCACAGCGUGGGAGACACAUAAUCUGCUUAAAUAUCCAGAACUUUCCUACAGAGAUUCUUCAGAAAGCAUAGAAGUUUUAUGCCAGGAGUUGUAACUUGGUGGAUCAUGAGAACUUACAAGAAAAGAAAAGAAAUGAAACAAAACAAACCUUCUAGGUCAAGGUAGGAUUACAGAAAGGGAAGUAAAUGUUCUAAAAGAAGAUUUACACAGUGAAACGGAGCAGAACAGCAUACCCUAAAAUACAGCAGUUUGGCAUGAGAAUCUAUGUGAUACAAGGCAGAUGAAAAAAAGCAGACGCAUGAGAAUCCACGUGACCCAAGGGAAAUGAAAAGAAGCAUCAGCAGGCUGGAGAGUCUGCUAGAAGCUGAAGGUGACACCUAAGAAAAGUCUGGGCUAAAUAAGUCACAUUUUAAAAAGGAACCACUGUUUUCAAAGGUGAGUUGGGUGAUCCUGGGAAGUUAGAGUACAUGUUAGGGAAAAAAUGCUACCUAUAAAGUUUUUGGUGAAUGAAGAGUUUUAACUAAAAGUAACUCUGCCGAUGUUUGUUUGUUUCUUUGUUUAUUCCAGGCUAGUCUGGGAUCUAUGAGACACUGCUUCAAUAAAGAAAAGAAAACAUCCACAGCAAUACGAGACUAACAAAUAUUUAUAACUUCACUUGUAUACUCACCAAGCAAACUUCUGGUUAUUCAUUCGGUUUCCCCGAACCCUGGAUACUGGGGAUGGAUGUACCCUGUCAACAGAUAAAAGUCAGUCAGUGACUGAGAAAACAUCAUAUUGACCACAGAUGGGAAGGCAGAAAGUCUGCUUUAUCAACGAACUCUUAGGUUUACUUGAUUAGUUCUCUCCUGUGAACUUGACCAUCUAUUAGUAAACAGAUGCAAUUAAA